AUAAAACGUUUUAUACACGUUUAUAUUACCAACCCUACGAAAAAUUAAAACUUUAAUUAAAAUGUUCAUAUUUCCGAAAAUAUUGAUCUUCAAAUUGCAAACAUAAAAUUUUUUAAAAAAGUGUUUCACUAAAUUAAUAGAUAAAUGGUUUUAAAAAUGUGAUAAUCCUAAUUAAUUAACGCUAGAUAUUCAUAAUAUUAUAUAAGGUAUCUAUAUGAACACACAGUAACACACUAUUUCAAACUACAUAAAACAAUGGCUAAUUUCAGAGCUAAUCAAAUGUAAAAACAUCUCGAAAAAUAUACUCAGUUUCUACUUGAAUUUUAGUUAAUAACUAAUUUGUUCAACAUUAAAUAAUCUAAAAUAAUUGUGUAGAAACAAGCACAAGUAAACAUAAAUUUCCCAUACUAGUCAAACGGUCCAAAUGUAAUUCUAUUCUAAUCAAUUGUAGAGCAUUUACCUGCCAUAGAAGGAAGGUAAUCAGAUUCAAUUACCAGACUGGUUAUAUAAUUUUAAUUGACUACCCAUCUACAGUAGAGAUACUUAAGUUUAAUAUAUUUAAAGGGAGUUUACUAAACAUGACUAUUACUUUGGUUAUUACUCUGGUUGUUACCUAAGUAUUUUCAAAAAGGACUAACCACGGGAUGAAGUAUUUAAAUUGGGUGGGUAGUCUUUACAGAUGAAUUUCACAUGUUUUUAUAUAAAUAAAAGACACAAUAUUAAAAUUAAUCUACAUUACAAUUUUUUAACACGUAUACUAAUAUAUAUAAAACAUAUAUUUAUAUCUGUGGUGGAUCCAAGGAGCAAUUACCCCUCCCCUCUUCCAUUUAAAUUGCAUUAUACUCUUAAUUUGAUUUUCAACAAUAAAUGUGUAACUUAUAUGAAUUGUCAAAAGCCCCUCUCUCUCUACCGUUAUCUUGUCUUGAUUUAUAUCUGAGUGAAAAUUUAACUAUGCAAUAAAUAAGAUGUAAAAAUGGAUAUCGACAAGUACCUAAUAUAUUGUAAAUAUGCAAAAACCAAUAUAUUCUGAAAGAUAACACCAAGCAUCAAUCUGAUAAAAAAAAUAAAUAGAGGUGAUAAAUUCUAAUGUUAUAAAAUUAUAACUAUUGUAAAAAUCCACAAUGAAAACUAACUUGACGAUAAAUAUUUGGGAGAGAAAAUCAGUAAGAUUUUAUUUCAUAUUUUUAAUAUAAUACUCAAACUGUAUGAAUAAAUAACAAGUAAUGAAUGAAUGAAUGAAAUUAUAUAUAUAUAUAUAAAUACACAAUUAUGAACUAUAAGAUAAAUUAAUAACCGUUUAUAACACAAUAAAUAAAGAUUGAUAGUCACUACUAAGGUACUUCCUACCUCUAUAUCAAAGUUCUUCA